rnacentral:rRNA from 1 species
CGGGUGCGUAACACGUGGAUAACCUUCCUUCAGGUGGGGAAUAACCCAGUGAAAACCUGGGCUAAUACCGCAUAACAUGACGAUGGCACAUGCUGUUGUCUUCAAAGGCGCAAGUCGCCAGAAGAGGGAUCCGCGGCCGAUUAGCUUGUUGGGAGGUAAUGGCUCACCAAGGCAUUGAUCGGUACCGGACUGAAGGUUGGCCGGCACACUGGAACUGAACACGGUCCAAUCCUACGGGAGGCAGCAGUGGGGAAUAUUUGCGCAAUGGAGGAAACUCUGACGCAGCGACGCCGCGUGGGUGACGAAGGCUUUCGGGUCGUAAAGCCCUGUCGGAAGAGAAGAAAAACGAGAUGGCUAAUAUCCAUCUCGCUUGACGGUACCUUCAAAGGAAGCACCGGCUAACUACGUGCCAGCAGCCGCGGUAAUACGUAGGGUGCAAGCGUCGUUCGGAAUCAUUGGGCGUAAAGCGCGUGU